rnacentral:lncRNA from 1 species
GGGUCGCGGCGGUUGGUUGGUUGGGUUGGGUUGGGUUGGAUUUGGUGUGAGGGUCAGGGUUUAGAAUUAGGAUUGGGUUAGGGGUUGUAUUAGGGCUAGAUUUGUGAAUAGGAUUAGGAUUAGAGUAUGGUUAAGGUUUAAGGUUAGAGUUGGGGUUUCACGGGUGGUGGCGGCAGAGAGGGGAAGGUUAGGGUUAGGGUUUCACAGGUGGUGACAGCGGAGGAGGAAAGGGAGGAGGUAAGGCGGAAGGGAGAGGAAAAGCCCACGGAUAAGAUGGAAUAGAGGAAAUCGAAGGAAAAAAAGGUUUAGGGUUGGAGUUGGGGUUUCACAGGUAGCGGCGGCAAAGAA